GCCUGAGUAGCUCAGUCGGUAGAGCAAGCGACUGAAAAUCGCUGUGUCGCUGGUUCGAUUCCGGCCUCAGGCACCA
rnacentral:tRNA from 1 species